rnacentral:rRNA from 1 species
UACGAAGGGGGCUAGCGUUGCUCGGAAUCAUUGGGCGUAAAGCGCGCGUAGGCGGCCCGGUAAGUCCGUUGUGAAAGUCAAAGGCUCAACCUUUGAAAGCCGAUGGAUACUGCCGGGCUAGAGUCCGGAAGAGGCGAGUGGAAUUCCUGGUGUAGCGGUGGAAUGCGCAGAUAUCAGGAGGAACACCGAUAGCGAAGGCAGCUCGCUGGGACGGUACUGACGCUGAGGCGCGAAAGCGUGGGGAGCGAACAGG